CCUUUUUUUUUUUUUUGUGUUUGUUUUCUUUUUCAAGGGAAUUACAUGAGCUUUCUUUGGAGAGAUCUGGCUUUUUAUUCAAAGUUUUGAUCUGUUAAUUUAAUGGUUUUUUCGUUCUUUAUCCUCAUUUGGAAAAAUCUGAGUCCUCUUUCUAGAGAGAUUGUGUUUUUUUUUUUUUUAAUAAUAAUAAUUAUUAUUAUUCAUCUUGAUUAUAGAGUUAUCUUUUUGCUUGUUUUGGAGGUUUUUGAGAAAUCCCAUGACAAGUAGGAAGAAAAAAAAUUGAUUAUUCCUAGUCUUACAUUUUCAAGGCCACCUGAAUGCUUGGCGUUCAAAAACAUUGUAACUUUUUUUUUUAAAAAAAAUGGUGUUCCCAACUAUGUUCUUUUCUCCCCACUUUUGUGAAAAUCUCUCUUUGUAGAUUCAUUAGUUAUAAUCACUUUUUAUUAAUUUAAAUCCUAAUUAAUUUCCCCCAUUAUUAUUUUUUCAAAUUAUAUUCAUUUUCAAAUCUUCCCUUCUAAUCUCAAAUUCUAAUUUAGUUUACUUUUCAUUCUUAUAAUUAAUUUUGGUUUUGUCAGGAUAUUAAAUUUUUUGGACUCCAACAGUUUUAACAUUUUAACACUUUAAGUAGUUGAUAAUUACCUAGUUUGGAUAACAAUUAAUCUAUAUGAUUCGAGAAUAUCACAACUGAGUUUGUCAUUCGAAAAUGAAAGAUUGCAUGGAGAAAUAGGGAGAGAGAGCUUCCUUCAGUCCACUCAUAGAGGGAUUCAAAGGAGUUGCUGAAGUAACUGCCGACUCAUUCACUCAAACACUCAGUAGAGCUCAAAAAGAAAUUAUCGGAGAGAAAGAAGAAAUAAAAUUGGUUCAAAGUAUAUUCUUUUCCUCUAUUGUGAUUGUGUGAAUGAAGCGGGAGAUAUUUUGCACUCUCUCUUUUUCUUUGCUUGGACUGAAGGGAGCUCCUCCUUUUUACUUUCCCCAUAAAACUAUCAAACCCCAAAUAUAUUCAAUAAUUCAAUUCCCCUUUGGUUUUUCUUUCUUUAAUGUGUUUAGAUCAUAUCAUUUCCAUAAUUCAUCCUAACGUGUUCAGGUCGAAUUUUGGAAGGGUAAAGUGUGAUCGGUUUGGUAGAAACACUCUCGGUUUGACCAUUUAAUUUAUUGCUUGAUAUGAUAAUCAAAAGUGAUUAGAAGGGGAGCGAGAAAGAACUACUUUAUUUUUAUAUAUUUCAAAACUUGAUUUACAAUAUUUUGAAAACAAUCCUAGAAUGUAAACAACAAAUUAAAAAAAAAAAAAAAAUCAAUAGUGUAUAUGUAAAGUAGUGUUUAUAUAAGUUUAAUAUUAAAAAAAAUCAAACGUCUAAAAACCAUUUGGUUAAAAAACUUGACCAUACAUUUUUGCAGUAUGAAUAAACUCAAGAUAUUUCUCAGCGUUGGAUGGUACCGAAAUUCUCUAGAGGUCUUUGGUCCCAUUUCUUGUUUAUUAAAUAGUACUAAUAUUAUUUUUUUUUGGAAUGAAAUGAUUUAAUUGAUAAUUAGAUUUAUCUCUUUAUUAAUAUAAUUUUGUGCUAUAUUUUGUUCUCGAGUUUAACAUGUGGAACAGAGAUUCAAACCUCUAAAUGUUAUAGUUGGGAGAGCAUGUAUGGUGAUCCAACUAAAGAUACAUAUAUGUUAUUGUCCACUAAGGUAUAGGCUAAGGCUUCCAUAGCUACCUGCAAAACCUGUCCCUAAAAAGGUAAAAUUUUUGGUACAUUAUCUUACCAUUCACUUUCACAGGUGAAAACAUAGGAAUCAACACAAACCAAACCAUACUCCUUUUCAUUGGUUUCAAUUUGGUUCCGUUUAAUUCCAUUAGAAAGUUAAUGGUAUAUAUUGGAGCAAACUACAUGUCUGAAAUACAUCGUAUAAACAAUGUAAACUUAGUGGAGAUUGUUCUGGUGCACUUACUAAUCAUUCAUCUUUUCAUA